rnacentral:rRNA from 1 species
GACGAACGCUGGCGGCGUGCCUAAUACAUGCAAGUCGAACGAGAGCGACCGGUGCUUGCACUGGUCAAUCUAGUGGCGAACGGGUGAGUAACACGUGGGUAACCUGCCCAUCAGAGGGGGAUAACAUUCGGAAACGGAUGCUAAAACCGCAUAGGUCUUCGAACCGCAUGGUUUGAAGAGGAAAAGAGGCGCAAGCUUCUGCUGAUGGAUGGACCCGCGGUGCAUUAGCUAGUUGGUGAGGUAACAGCUCACCAAGGCCGUGAUGCAUAGCCGACCUGAGAGGGUGAUCGGCCACAUUGGGACUGAGACACGGCCCAAACUCCUACGGGAGGCAGCAGUAGGGAAUCUUCCGCAAUGGACGCAAGUCUGACGGAGCAACGCCGCGUGAGUGAAGAAGGUUUUCGGAUCGUAAAACUCUGUUGUUAGAGAAGAACAAGUGCUAGAGUAACUGUUAGCGCCUUGACGGUAUCUAACCAGAAAGCCACGGCUAACUACGUGCCAGCAGCCGCGGUAAUACGUAGGUGGCAAGCGUUGUCCGGAUUUAUUGGGCGUAAAGCGAGCGCAGGCGGUUCCUUAAGUCUGAUGUGAGAGCCCCCGGCUCAACCGGGGAGGGUCAUUGGAAACUGGGGAACUUGAGUGCAGAAGAGGAGAGUGGAAUUCCAUGUGUAGCGGUGAAAUGCGUAGAUAUAUGGAGGAACACCAGUGGCGAAGGCGACUCUCUGGUCUGUAACUGACGCUGAGGCUCGAAAGCGUGGGUAGCAAACAGG